AUGGUGGAGAAGGGCAAAGAGGACCUCGGAGGCCUGACUGCAGGGCUUAUGGAGCUGUCCUUGCUCGCCGCCUUUUCUCCGUCGUUCAGACCCUCACUGCCCCGCCAGUGUAGGUUUCUGUCCCCUCAGUCCUUUUGCAGGAGUAGGUGGAAUCCAUGGACCAGAAACUCAGACCGCCGGUUCCUCGCCACCUGGCGCCCACGCAGCUUUCAGGGUCGCUUCUCCCGGAAGGCGCGCUUGUUCCUGCGGCGCUGCCUGCCUGUGUCGUCGUCCCUUCUUCAAACCUCAGGAUUUCUCCGGUUUCCCAGACCGUAAGGUGCAUCAAAUCACCAGCUAACUAAUACUUCAUGGCGAGACCACGAAACACCUGUUAUUUCGCUUUUCUAAAAUGUACGGCAUGACUUCGGAGCAAACGGUACUGCCCGGCCUCAGCAGCCCGAGACUGAGCGUUUCUGAAGCGCGGGGUCCCCGUUUCUGAGAGGGUCGUGGCUGCAUGCAG
rnacentral:lncRNA from 1 species